GACAAAGUCUCUAGUGGUUGGUGUGGACAUUAUGAUUGAAGUAUAUCUUAGUGAAACAAGACAACAAUAUUUCGAAGAAAAAUCUGAAUUAUAUAAGUAUUUGGAAGAAGAUUAUGAACGUUAUAGUCCCGACUUUGAUAUCUUAACUUGGUGGAAAGUCAAUUCUUUGAGAUAUCCUAUUCUCUCUUCCAUUGCUCGGGAUAUUUUGGUCUGCCCGUCUCAACCGUAGCACCAUAUUCUGCAUUUAGCACGGGAGAUCGUGCACUUGACGUGUUUCGUAGCUCCUUGACCUUGAGCAUAGUGGAGGCUCUCAUAUGUACUCAAGAUUGGUUACGAUACACACCACUUUCGGUUUCAAUCGAGGAGGACUUAGCAGAACUCGAAAAUUUUUGAGUCGGAUUUGUCAACUACAACCAUGGAGCUUAACUCAAUAUUGAUUUCUCUUGAUGAUUAACAAACUUGGAGGUUGGUGCUUCAUAUCCAUUUGUGACUUGAAUGCCUUUCAAGCGGCAUAUCUAUGGUGUUGAUGUGGAAGUCUCACUUUACUGGAUUAUUAGCAUCCAAAGUACGCAGGAUGAGUGUCUGGUCUGUGAUUCUGUGAAAAAAAAUAUUCUUGGGACAUAAUGUAACUGUAGACUUAAAUGUCCUGAUCAGUCUAACAGUAGAUUGCCAAAUUUUUUUCUCUUUCUGUUGGUCAAGAGAAGUACAUUGCUACCUGCCAUGACAUUAUUACCAGAACUUGGGGUUGGAAUUAUGUGGUUACUGCUCCAACUUUUGUUGGCUGAAAUCUACUUGGGUUUCUUUGCAUUUAGUAUUUUGGUUAUUGUAAUGUCUGGCUAAUUAUGACAUCUGAUGGGUUGGUAGGUCUACAAAGCCAGUGAGUAUAAGCGUGUUCUUGCAAUAUGUGGACCUGGGAACAAUGGUGGUGAUGGCCUGGUAGCUGCUCGUCAUUUGUUUCAUUUUCGAUAUAAAGCCAUACAUUUGUUAUCCUAAGUGUACUCCGAAGCCUUUUUAUACUGGUUUUGCUGCUGCUUCUGUUUAUUAUCCGGGUUAAGGGGUUGCUGUUCCGGUGCUUGGAGACGCUUGAAGCAUUUUCUUACUGAGAUUGACGAACUUGGAGAUCGGUACUUGUUAAACCAUUUUCUUGUUGAUGUUUUGAGAGAAGAAGUGGUUCUGUGGAGGAGCUGUCUUUAGGACGCUAAUGAAGAGACGUACAUUAGAAGGAUUGUCUCAAUGUGUUACUGCAUUAUCAGUUCAGAAAGCUGUCGAUUUAGGCUUUUCCUUGCAUUGCUAGAUGUUCAUGUCGGGAAGUUUCAGUCAUAUCAGAACUGGAAAGGACUAAGGAUGUUACUUCCCAUUUGUUA